AUUGAACGCUGGCGGCAUGCCUUACACAUGCAGGUCGAACGGCAGCACGGGGCAACCUGGUGGCGAGUGGCGAACGGGUGAGUAAUGCAUCGGAACGUACCUUUCAGUGGGGGGUAACGUAGCGAAAGUUACGCUAAUACCGCAUAUUCUGUGAGCAGGAAAGCAGGGGAUCGCAAGACCUUGCGCUGAUUGAGCGGCCGAUGUCAGAUUAGCUAGUUGGUGAGGUAAAGGCUCACCAAGGCGACGAUCUGUAGCGGGUCUGAGAGGAUGAUCCGCCACACUGGAACUGAGACACGGUCCAGACUCCUACGGGAGGCAGCAGUGGGGAAUUUUGGACAAUGGGGGCAACCCUGAUCCAGCCAUGCCGCGUGGGUGAAGAAGGUCUUCGGAUUGUAAAGCCCUUUCAGCUGGAAAGAAGGGCGAAGUAGCUAAUACCUACUCCGUCUGACGGUACCAGAAGAAGAAGCACCGGCUAAUUCCGUGCCAGCCGCCGCGGUAACAC
rnacentral:rRNA from 1 species